CAUUUGUUGGUUUCAACAAUGUAGAUUUCGGAACAAUGACAGUUUAAUAAUGAAGUAUACUGUUUUCUUCUGAAAUCUACAUUGUUGAAACCAACAAAUGAGAAGGAGACUGAAGUAAGAUAGCUAAAACAAGUUCUAAUAUAUCAAGUUCUUUUGGCUUUGAGAACUCGAAAGUGAGGGGAAAGAGAGCCUCCUCUCCUUCUAAAAAUUUGUUAGGUGACAAUUCAAGCGUCAUUGAAUUAUAAUCAUGAACCAAAUCAAUAGGUGU
rnacentral:misc_RNA from 1 species